ACUGUGCAAAGGUAGCAUGAUCAAUUGUCUGGUAAUUCCAGUCUGGUAUGAACGGUUAGACGAUAGGAACGCUGUCUCUCUUCUCUUGUGGUGAAAUUAACAUUUAGGUGCGGAGGCCUGGAUUUAGGAGUGGGACGAGAAGACCCUAUAGAGCUUUAACUUUAAUUAUAAAUCCUUAUUAUGGUGAUUGUUUUAGUUGGGGCAACUACUUUUGUAAUUAAACAUUAGUGAUGGUUUAAUAAAUUAAAUUUUUGAGGACCUUGAAGUUUUCMGGUAAUUAGAAAAAGUUACCUUAGGGAUAACAGCGUAAUUUCUCCUGAGAGUUCUUAUUAA
rnacentral:rRNA from 1 species